CCAUCCGCCAGCUCGCAGCCGACAUGCAGUCCCCGGCAGUGCUCGUCACCUCCAGGCAAGUUCAGAAUGUGCACACAGGCCUCGAUCUGACUGUCCCGCAGCACCAGGAGGUGCGGGGUAAGAUGAUGUCUGGCCAUGUGGAGUACCAGAUCCUGGUGGUGACCAGGCUGGCUGUGUUCAAGUCAGCCAAGCACCGACCCGAAGAUGUCGUCCAGUUCUUGAGCAUCUAGUGGCAGCAAAGCAUUGGAGCCAAGAGACACCUGGUUCUGAGGAUAACAUAAUAAGCCUCCAUGCUGGGAGCCAACAGAAACAACAGGGUAAGAGACAAGGAGAGAGGGCAACGCUUACAGUGUGCUGAAAGUCAAGCUCAGCACCACUGGCAAGGAGCAAGUCAGAGGCUGUGGUGAGCCUCUAGUGCUCACCCGCUGGGUGGACACGGGAAGCCCAACAUAGGAGUGGGCGAGAUCUGAAUCUUAAGUAGUUAGAUAUUAGCUGUAGGCCAUGUUAAGAGCUGGGGGUGGGUGAAACUACCCAGAGAGCAGAGGUGAAGGGCUGGGAAAAGAGCUGAGGAGAGGAAGUCCUGGAAAUACCAGCAAGGCCAACGAUAGCUGGGCCAACCAUCGUGGCAGAGGGGAAGGCCGAGUGACUGAAGGCAAGGAAGCUAAGGGAACAGAGAAUUUCAACUAAAAGGAAGGAUGGGUUCACACGUUUAUUUACCCUUUGGCCUCUUACGGAAGGAUCCAGACCUGAUGAGCAGGAAAGACGGGUCUUGGUAUCUUAGGACACGGUGAAAUGAACCAGAGUCCUUUAGUAGCAUGAGGGAGCAGCUGCUGCAGGUUGGUUUGGCACCUCCAGGUGGCCAUGACAAAAGAAACGGAUGAGUGUACAGCUCUGUGACGGUAAGGGACCAAAUUCUUUUUGUUGUUGUUGUUGUUUUGUUUUGUUUUGUUUUGUUUUGUUUUGUUUUGUUUUUCAAGACAGGGUUUCUCUGUGUAGCCCUGGCUGUCC